AUUGAACGCUGGCGGCAUGCUUUACACAUGCAAGUCGAACGGUAACAGGCCGCAAGGUGCUGACGAGUGGCGAACGGGUGAGUAAUGCAUCGGAACGUGCCCAGUCGUGGGGGAUAACUACUCGAAAGAGUAGCUAAUACCGCAUACGAUCUAUGGAUGAAAGCGGGGGACCGUAAGGCCUCGCGCGAUUGGAGCGGCCGAUGGCCGAUUAGGUAGUUGGUGGGGUAAAGGCUCACCAAGCCAACGAUCUGUAGCUGGUCUGAGAGGACGACGAGCCACACUGGAACUGAGACACGGCCCAGACUCCUACGGGAGGCAGCAGUGGGGAAUUUUGGACAAUGGGCGAAAGCCUUAUCCAGCAAUGCCGCGUGCAGGAAGAAGGCCUUCGGGUUGUAAACUGCUUUUGUACGGAACGAAACGGCUCUGGUUAAUACCCGGGGCUAAUGACGGUACCGUAAGAAUAAGCACCGGCUAACUACGUG
rnacentral:rRNA from 1 species